GUGGCGCGACUGCUGGUGUGAAAAAGGCUAAGGGCAAGUGUUAUCACUGCAAGCAGCCCGGGCAUCAUAAGAAGCAGUGUCCAACUUAUCUGGCCAAGCUGAAAAAUAAACCAGGGGUUUCAGGUAAUGCGGCGGCUAAGUAAAGGAGAAAUCAGUGUUUAUCAAGCAGACGGUUCAGCAGCCCCAGCUUUAGCAUUAGGAAAUAUUAGUAUUUCGUUUGGUAGUGGUAGAGUUUUAGCUUUAAAAGACACAUUAUAUGUACCUUCCGUUAGAAGGAAUUUAAUUUCGGUUUCUAGCGCUAUGAGAGAUGGUUAUGAUUUUAAUUGUCAUGACGUUGAUAAAUGUGUUAUUACUCAUAAUAAGCGUUAUCUCU